AUGGACCAAAUGAUCAAUAUAAUAAUCAAGAACGAGUAAAACAGUCGAAUGAAGAAGAGCUGUUACGAUUAAAAGCAGAGAAAUUAGCAGAAGAGUUGAGAAAAGAAAAAGAACGGAAACAUAGUUUUAUCCCAUCAUCUGCGCCAUCUCUUCAAAAUAAUAUGGAUCGUCUGAAUAGUCUUCUCUAUGAUUUUUCCAGUGAUAUUCAAGAACCGGCACAUAGAGAUUAUACCCCGCAGCCAGUUAUGACAGCAACAGCAGUUUAUAAAUUUGAGCCAAGGAGUGCGAGAGAACUUCCACUUAACCGUGGUGAUAUUAUUCGAAUAAUUCGUGAAGUUGAUGGUUAUUGGAUGGAGGGAGAGAGAAAUGGAAGAAGUGGAAUAUUUCCAACGUCUUAUGUUCAAAUUAAUACUGGAAAUCAAGGGGAUAGUCAAAAGAUGAGAGCAAUUUAUCCAUUCACUGCUAGAAGUGACACUGAAUUGAGUUUGAAGAGGGGAGAAAUAAUCACACGCCGCCGUCAAAUUGACUCGAAUUGGCUGGAAGGAAGUAAUCAAAUUGGAAUUGUUGGAAUAUUCCCAGCUUCUUAUGUGGAACCAAUUGAACAAGUGGAGCAACACAUCCCAACAAUAGUCCCGAAUCGGCCAAAAACUCCGAAAAUUGAGGAUCAAGUGUAUAAUCAAGUGUAUAAGCCAAAUGAAACAGUGAUAAUGCAAAGUAAUCAGGGAUAUUAUGAUAAAGCAGCGGUAGUGCCUAAUAAUAAAGUCCGGUUCGAUUUACCCAGUGGAUCGGAUUCUAAUUUGCAAAUGUCCCUAAACCCACAUCAAAAUCAAUUCCCUCCUACACAUACUCAAACCAGCACACAACAGCCAUCAAACUAUGGAAUGAAGAAAAUUGAAUACGAACGCGAAAAAGUUGUUGAAGAAGUGCCACCGAUGCAUAUGGAUCAGUACAGAAAACUGAAUGACGAGCCGAAAAAUCCGAAAAAGGAUACGAAUAUUCUCAUGAAUGCCGCUUCGCUUAUUCCGAAAGGAUCCGAGAUGUACCGAGCCGUAUAUCCAUAUCAACCGCAAAAAGAAGACGAACUCCAAUUGUACACGAACGAUAUCAUUUUUGUAGUGGAAAAGUGUGAUGAUGGAUGGUUUAUUGGUACAUCUUUACGAACCGGAGACUUUGGAAUUUUCCCUGGAAAUUAUGUUAAACGUCAUUGAAC
rnacentral:misc_RNA from 1 species